CCAGGCAGUGGCACAACUGGUAAAUUGCACAAGGAUCCAGGUUCAGGCCCGACUCCCUACCUGCCGGGGGUUCGCUUCACAAGUGGUAAAGCGUAGUUGGGAAGAUGUCGGGGGACCUGCCACCCACCAUCAACAUUGGAGAGCCUCGCUGGGAUCAGAGCACGUUUGUGGGGCGCGCCAAGCACUUCUUCACCGUGACGGACCCCCGGAACAUCUUGCUGAGUGAUGAACAGCUGGAGAACGCCAGGAAAGUGGUGCACGAUUACAGGCAAGGAAUCAUCCCUCCAGGUCUGACAGAAAAUGAGUUAUGGAGAGCCAAGUAUGUCUAUGACUCAGCCUUCCAUCCUGACACGGGAGAGAAAAUGGUCCUGAUUGGACGGAUGUCGGCUCAGGUGCCCAUGAACAUGACCAUCACGGGAUGCAUGAUGACCUUCUACAGGACCACGCCCGCCGUGCUCUUCUGGCAGUGGGUCAAUCAAUCCUUCAACGCCGUGGUCAACUAUACCAACAGGAGUGGGGACGCGCCCCUGACCAUGAACGAGUUGGGGACAGCGUAUGUCUCAGCCACCACCGGUGCUGUCGCCACGGCCCUGGGCCUCAACGCCCUCACCAAGCAUGUCUCCCCGCUCGUCGGCCGCUUUGUCCCCUUCGCCGCGGUGGCCGCCGCCAACUGCAUCAACAUCCCGCUCAUGAGACAAAGGGAACUCAAGGUGGGCAUCCCAGUCACGGACGAGCACGGUGCCCGUCUGGGAGAAUCAGCCAACGCCGCCCAGCAGGCCAUCAUGCAGGUCGUGGUCUCCAGGAUCCUCAUGGCCGCCCCUGGCAUGGCCAUUCCUCCUUUUAUCAUGAACGUGCUGGAAAAGAAAGCCUUCCUCAGGAGAUUCCCGUGGAUGAGUGCACCUGUUCAAGUUGGCCUGGUCGGCUUCUGCUUGGUCUUUGCAACACCUCUGUGCUGUGCCUUGUUCCCUCAGAAGAGCUCCAUGUCUGUGACCAGCCUGGAGCCCGAGUUGCAAGCCGAGAUCCAAAAGACCCACCCUGACUUACAGCGCGUGUACUUCAACAAGGGACUGUGACCGAUGGGGUGGUGUCCCCUCCCCACACCGCAGCCCGCCACAAACCCAGCGGGCCAGGAAACUCAGUCUGGCUUCUCCUGGUUCCAGAAACCUUAAGAGUCAAGCUGCUACUUCCGGCCCCGCACGCCGGGUGGACAAAGACCCAAAUCCUUCUGGCCCCUCAGUACUCAAAUCAUGUUCUCCUUUACAAAAAUGUCCUUCCAGUAGCUCCCAAGACAGCGUCCCAGCCUUCACUCAGGCCAACAGCAGAGAUGGUCUCUGUCUGUUCACAGACGUUGGUGGAUCAGCCGUCGUGGGGAAGAGAUCUGUUCAACACAGUCUAGUCUGCAUCCCACUCUUGGCCUCUAAUCAACCCGCUUUCAGGAAGGAUCGUGGAAAAACAAAAGAGGCUCAGUGGCAAAGCCGUUCAAUGAGUCACAAAAGCUGUAGGAAUAACAGCCACCAAGAAUAAAAUCUUAAAAACCGAAGGACCGCUCGCUUCCAAUCCGGCAAACCCACAACAGAUGCUGAAUUGUGUUUCUUUAGUAGUUUUUUUGAGGUCAGUGGAAUCAGGUGUCCCACCCACCUUCAAGUCACAGUACUUGACAAGAGUUCGCCGUGCUAGUGGCUUUCUGUGGGUGGCAUUUGGACGUGUUCCUGGUGACGUUCUCCUGACGAUGCCGAGUCUCAGCUGACACUUGUUGACUUUCUGGCCACUUCUUGGCAUCUGUUAAUACGAUGACCACUGAGAUGUACAAGUGUCCCGUUUGGGAACUUUGCUCCCACACCAACACUUCACGAGGCCGGGUUGCAUCAGAUGAGUCUGUGGGUUUGCUUUUUUAAGGUGUGAAAAGUCCGAUUCCAGCCUCCUACCCGCCUUCUUUUCUGUCAUCCCUUUGGCUUCAAGAAAGACAGGGAAGUGGUGUGACUGUGGGUCCGUAUGAAUAAUUCUGGAGAUUCCAUUCUGCCCCGGUUGACGGGUUAGUCUCUGGAUUGUACCCAAUCGUGGGUUGUACCACACUGCCCUGUCCCAGCAGCGCUGUGUCUGAUGUCACAGAAGACACACGUGUGCCAUCUGCCACGACCCAGAGGUUCCAGGCAAAGCCCUCAGCUCCGCUGUGAUUCAGAGCCUUGUAAUCAGAAAACAAAAAUGUAGACUUCGCUCUUGAGCAAUUCGGGCCAACAGUGCGAUCAGACUGAUUCCCUCCUGAAGUAAAAACAUGACUUCACUUUUCACUGGAAGGACUCCCGGGUCUAGAAAGGGAGUUGGAGGGGCCGCUCUGAGCCUUCCUGUCUUAACUGCCAAGAUCUUCUCACAUGGCCUUGCUGUUAGAGGGAGCUUUUUAGCAAGAAUGUGAAGAGGUACAGUUCUCUUUCCCACCUGCCCCAACUUAGCACAGAAUCCUGAAGCACGGUAUCCAUCACCCAGUUCAGAAUGUUAACCUUCACUGAAAAAUGCACGACCACUAAAUGCGCUCUCCUAAAGGCUGGCGGGGGACUUGUAGAUGUUAUAUCCAGAAGGAAACUAGGACCAGAAUACCACUGUGUGUGUGUGUGUGUGUGUGAGAGGGAAAGAGAGACAGACAGAGACACCAGGAACCUGCAACUGUGUCGUGUGUGUGUGUGUGUGUGUGUGUGUGUGUGUGUACACUAGGAACGUGGAACUGUGUCUUUAACAUUUUUGACUGAGGCUUUGACUAUUGAUAGUUUUUUUUUUUAAUAGAAAUAUUAACUGUAUUAUUUCAUUAUGGUUUAUCAAAAGGAACAAACAAACCCAGGGUUUGGCAGUCUUUGCCCAAUGCAUAGAUAAACUACUUUUUUUUUUUUCUGGGGAAAUGUCCAAGCGGAGUGCGAUAAAGUGUGAAAGGCGGCCGGGUGUGGGCAAGUCUGACUGGCAGCGCGUCCCAUCAUCAGCGCAGUUGUCUCACCAGCGUCAAGCCCAUGUGUGAUUUCAGCUCAACUGGAUGAAAUGUGAAAUAAACUCAGACUGGCUCAAA